GAGGGAAAGGGGGGCGGGAGCAGAGAUUCAAAGGAGGCAUGGCUAGUUGUUUACCCCAGUCCACCUUUUACACUUUAGCAAGUGGUUUGAUGGAAAACGUUUCUAUGACAUACAACUGAGAUCCCAGGUUACACACUUCUAGCAAAACACAAGCUUGAAGGUUGGUUAAGAUAUUUCUGUAGGCAAUGUUGGUUUUCUGGCCAAGAGGGGGCUAUUAACACAUUUUCUUUGACAACCAAUUCGCUAGAGGACUAGAGGCAAACAUACUUACAUUGCCUUUGAUGACCGAUAUGUUCUGGAACUAAUUGUUAGGUUAGGCGCGGUAAAAACUCAAAUCCUUUUCUUUUUAUGGAAAAACUGCAGGGGAAAUCCGGCUAGGCGGCUAGCGCUAUUUGUUGGUCUAUUUUGUUAGGUGAGUGAUUUUUUGCAUGAAAAAGUAAUUUACCAAAUCUUUUGCAGGUUAUUUUCUUGUGCACCAAUUGGUUGCGGUUAUGGUCUUUGUUGCAGCGACCGGAUGACAGGAAGAAUAUGGUGACGAGGAGAUUGUUCUUGGUGGAAUGGUGGUCGUUGGGGCUGCGUGCAUUUUGCAACGGAGACGCCGGGAGUCAAUAGAGCUUUUUUUUCCCUUCUAAAUAUCGUUACACACCUACACUACGCAGUUACAGAGUAACGAUUAUGCAUCAUUUUAUCAACCGUAGCUCUAUGUUCCAUCUCCAACAAUUUGUUGACAUAUAUGUCACGACAGACGCUUCCACUAUUAUCGAGGUGCACAAAUGAGUCCCAAGUA